GAUGAACGCUGGCGGCGUGCCUAAUACAUGCAAGUCGAGCGAACAGACGAGGAGCUUGCUCCUCUGAUGUUAGCGGCGGACGGGUGAGUAACACGUGGAUAACCUACCUAUAAGACUGGGAUAACUUCGGGAAACCGGAGCUAAUACCGGAUAACAUGUUGAACCGCAUGGUUCAACAGUGAAAGACGGUCUUGCUGUCACUUAUAGAUGGAUCCGCGCCGCAUUAGCUAGUUGGUAAGGUAACGGCUUACCAAGGCAACGAUGCGUAGCCGACCUGAGAGGGUGAUCGGCCACCCUGGAACUGAGACACGGUCCAGACUCCUACGGGAGGCAGCAGUAGGGAAUCUUCCGCAAUGGGCGAAAGCCUGACGGAGCAACGCCGCGUGAGUGAAGAAGGUCUUCGGAUCGUAAAACUCUGUUAUUAGUGAAGAACAAAUGUGUAAGUAACUAUGCACGUCUUGACGGUACCUAAUCAGAAAGCCACGGCUAACUACGU
rnacentral:rRNA from 1 species